rnacentral:lncRNA from 1 species
UUCUUCUUCACCCAGAGACCGACAUCCAUCACUAGGAGUCUAUGAAGAGUCGAAAGUGACUCCCCCGGAAUGACCUUGAAGUCCUUGCAUAAAACUCUAUCGCUCCUUCUGAGAAAAAGAUAAUCAAUAUGAGUCUUCGCCGCCGAACUUUUGAAGGUGACCAAAUGCUCCUCCCUUUUCUGAAAUGUCGAGUUCACAUUUAGAAGCUCAGAAGCCCUGGCGAAAUCGAGCAGUGACGUGCCUCCUCCGUUCCUAACCCCAAGGCCAAAGCCACCGUGCACC